UACGUAGGGUGCGAGCGUUAAUCGGAAUUACUGGGCGUAAAGCGUGCGCAGGCGGUUUUGUAAGCCAGAUGUGAAAUCCCCGGGCUUAACCUGGGAAUGGCAUUUGGGACUGCAAGGCUUGAGUGCGGCAGAGGAGACUGGAAUUCCUGGUGUAGCAGUGAAAUGCGUAGAUAUCAGGAGGAACACCGGUGGCGAAGGCGGGUCUCUGGGCCGAUACUGACGCUGAGGAGCGAAAGCAUGGGUAGCGAACAGG
rnacentral:rRNA from 1 species